GAUGAACGCUGGCGGCGUGCCUAAUACAUGCAAGUCGAGCGAACAGACGAGGAGCUUGCUCCUCUGACGUUAGCGGCGGACGGGUGAGUAACACGUGGAUAACCUACCUAUAAGACUGGGAUAACUUCGGGAAACCGGAGCUAAUACCGGAUAACAUGUUGAACCGCAUGGUUCAACAGUGAAAGACGGUCUUGCUGUCACUAAUAGAUGGACCCGCGCCGCAUUAGCUAGUUGGUAAGGUAACGGCUUACCAAGGCAACGAUGCGUAGCCGACCUGAGAGGGUGAUCGGCCACACUGGAACUGAGACACGGUCCAGACUCCUACGGGAGGCAGCAGUAGGGAAUCUUCCGCGAUGGGCGAAAGCCUGACGGAGCAACGCCGCGUGAGUGAAGAAGGUCUUCGGAUCGUAAAACUCUGUUAUUAGGGAAGAACAAAUGUGUAAGUAACUAUGCUCGUCUUGACGGUACCUAAUCAGAAAGCCACGGCUAACUACGUG
rnacentral:rRNA from 1 species